rnacentral:rRNA from 1 species
UGGGGAAUAUUGCAUAAUGGAGGGAACUCUGAUGCAGCGAAGCCGCGUGAACGAAGAAGGCUUUCGAGUCGUAAAGUUCUUUUAUAUGGGAAGAUAAUGACGGUACCAUAAGAAAAAGCCCCGGCUAACUACGUGCCAGCAGCCGCGGUAAUACGUAGGGGGCUAGCGUUGUCCGGAAUCACUGGGCGUAAAGGGUUCGCAGGCGGAAAUGCAAGUCAGGUGUAAAAGGCAGUAGCUUAACUACUGUAAGCAUUUGAAACUGCAUAUCUUGAGAAGAGUAGAGGUAAGUGGAAUUUUUAGUGUAGCGGUGAAAUGCGUAGAUAUUAAAAAGAAUACCGGUGGCGAAGGCGACUUACUGGGCUCAUUCUGACGCUGAGGAACGAAAGCGUGGGUAGCAAACAGG